rnacentral:rRNA from 1 species
AGAGUUUGAUCCUGGCUCAGAUUGAACGCUGGCGGCAGGCCUAACACAUGCAAGUCGAGCGGCAGCGGGAAAGUAGCUUGCUACUUUUGCCGGCGAGCGGCGGACGGGUGAGUAAUGCCUGGGGAUCUGCCCAGUCGAGGGGGAUAACUACUGGAAACGGUAGCUAAUACCGCAUACGCCCUACGGGGGAAAGCAGGGGACCUUCGGGCCUUGCGCGAUUGGAUGAACCCAGGUGGGAUUAGCUAGUUGGUGAGGUAACGGCUCACCAAGGCGACGAUCCCUAGCUGGUCUGAGAGGAUGAUCAGCCACACUGGAACUGAGACACGGUCCAGACUCCUACGGGAGGCAGCAGUGGGGAAUAUUGCACAAUGGGGGAAACCCUGAUGCAGCCAUGCCGCGUGUGUGAAGAAGGCCUUCGGGUUGUAAAGCACUUUCAGCGAGGAGGAAAGGUCAGUAGCUAAUAUCUGCUGGCUGUGACGUUACUCGCAGAAGAAGCACCGGCUAACUCCGUGCCAGCAGCCGCGGUAAU